GAUGAACGCUAGCGGGAGGCCUAACACAUGCAAGCCGAGCGGUAUUGUUUCUUCGGCAAUGAGAGAGCGGCGUACGGGUGCGUAACACGUGUGCAACCUGCCUUUAUCUGGGUGAUAGCCUUUCGAAAGGAAGAUUAAUACUCCAUAAUAUAUUUAACGGCAUCGUUUAAUAUUGAAAGCUCCGGCGGAUAGAGAUGGGCACGCGCAAGAUUAGCUAGUUGGUUAGGUAACGGCUAACCAAGGAGAUGAUCUUUAGGGGGCCUGAGAGGGUGAUCCCCCACACUGGUACUGAGACACGGACCAGGAUGCUACGGGAGGCAGCAGUGAGGAAUAUUGGGCAAGGGGUGCAAGCCUAAACCAGCCAUCCCGGGUGAAGGACGACUGCCGUAUGGGUUGUAAACUUCUUUUGAAUAGGGAUAAACCUACCCUCGAGAGGGUAGCUGAAGGUACUAUACGAAUAAGCACCGGCUAACUCCGUG
rnacentral:rRNA from 1 species